rnacentral:rRNA from 1 species
GGUUAAGUGACUAAGCGUACACGGUGGAUGCCUAGGCAGUCAGAGGCGAUGAAGGGCGUGCUAAUCUGCGAAAAGCGUCGGUAAGGUGAUAUGAACCGUUAUAACCGGCGAUACCCGAAUGGGGAAACCCAGUGUGUUUCGACACACUAUCAUGUCAUGAAUACAUAGUGGCAUGAGGCGAACCGGGGGAACUGAAACAUCUAAGUACCCCGAGGAAAAGAAAUCAACCGAGAUUCCCCCAGUAGCGGCGAGCGAACGGGGAGGAGCCCAGAACCUGAAUCGGCUUGUGUGUUAGUGGA